rnacentral:rRNA from 1 species
GACGAACGCUGGCGGCGUGCCUAAUACAUGCAAGUAGAACGCUUAAGGCGGAGCUUGCUCUUCUGGAUGAGUUGCGAACGUGUGAGUAACGAGUAGGUAAUCUGCCUGGUAGCGGGGGAUAACUAUUGGAAACGAUAGCCAAUACCGCAUGACUACUGCUAUUGCAUGAUAACUGUUUACAAGGCGCAAUUGCCACACUACCAGUUGGACCUGGGUUGUAUUGGCUAGUUGGGGAGGUAACGGCUCACCAAGGCGACGAUACAUAGCCGACCGGAGAGGGUGAUCGGCCACACUGGGACUGAGACACGGCCCAGACUCCUACGGGAGGCAGCAGUAGGGAAUCUUCGGCAAUGGACGGAAGUCUGACCGGGCAACGCCGCGUGAGUGAAGAAGGUUUUCGGAUCGUAAAGCUCUGUUGUAAGGGAAGAACGAGUGUGAGAGUAGAAAGUUCACACUGUGACGGUACCUUACCAGAAAGCGACGGCUAACUACGUG